UUGCCGACUGAAAGGCGAUCCUUUAUGGUAAGCGUCUCACAUUCUAAUUAUAGUAGAGGCGAUCGAUAUUACUCAUACUUGCAAUCCACGCCCGCCCUCCGUUGGUCAAAUCCUGCAUGUUUCCGGAAGAAAGUCACAGUCGUUUCUGCCACUGCAACUGACAUGCGGAGCUAUGAAGAAGUUGUCGCGUUUCUGGGAGAAUGGGGACCGUACCAGAAGCUUAUGUUUUUCAUCUUGAGCUUUAGCAUCUUUAGCAACGGUUUUUGCGGACUCUCCUUUGUUUUCACUGGCGGUGUCCCAGAGCAUCGCUGCUUAAUUCCUGGGAAUCUCAACCUCAGCGAAGCAUGGAGGAACAGGACGAUCCCGCUACAGGGUCCCGAACAACAGCGCAGCAAGUGUACUCGGUACCGGCUGGACGUGAUACUGAACCUUUCGCAGACAUUCCCCGACCCAGACUUCCUCAACAUGUCUGAGAUCGAACAGGAACCGUGUCUGGAUGGAUGGGAGUACAGUAAGGAGCAGUACAUCUCCACUAUCGUCUCCGAGUGGGACUUGGUAUGUAAAGAUCAUUGGAAAGCCCCGUUUUCUAUGUCGAUGUUCUUUUUAGGUGUGCUGGUUGGUUCCCUUGUAUCUGGCCAAUUGUCAGACAGGUUUGGAAGAAAGCUAAUUCUAUUUGGAACGAUGGCUGUGCAGUGUACAUUCAGCAUUGUUCAAGUGUUCGCUCCAAGCUGGAAAAUAUUCUGCCUUCUUAAUUUCCUCAUUGGUCUCGGACAAAUAUCAAACUAUGUAGCUGCCUUUGUUCUUGGAUCAGAAAUUCUUGGAAAAUCCAUGCGGCUUAUGUACAGCACGUUGGGAGUGUGCAUUUCUUAUGCUCUUGGCUACAUGUUGCUGCCCUUCAUUGCAUAUUUUCUAAGAAACUGGCGGAUGCUGCUUUUGGCUCUUUCACUUAUUAGCCUGACAUACAUUCCUUUGUGGUGGUUUAUUCCUGAAUCUCCACGCUGGUUGUUGAUAAAAGGAAGGGUAAAGGAGGCAGAAGAAAUACUCCAAUAUAUUGCAAAGAAAAAUGGUGUCACUCUCCCAGAGGUGCUUUUCAGUGAACCUGAGCUUGAAGAUAUGAGAACCAAAUAUGCACAGUCUUACACAAUUUUCCAUCUUGUUAAAACUUAUAACAUCCGAGUUAUUACUGUCAUUAAUGUUCUGAUAUGGAUGAUUUUAACAGUCGGGUACUUUGGCCUGUCCUUGAGCACUCCCAAUCUUCAUGGUGAUAACUAUUUGAACUGCUUCUUCUCGGCUGCCAUUGAAGUUCCUGCCUACACAGCAGCCUGGUUUUUCCUUCAGAAGUUUCCACGCAGGGUCAUCCUUUCAAUCACAGCUCUUUUUGGUGGAGCUGUUCUUAUACUCACCCAGUUUACACCUUCAGAUCUUUUCUGAAGACUUUUCUCUUUUAAAACGUAAGCAAUUUUUUCAGACUUGCGUUUGCAAAAAGAUACUGUCAGCUACAGUAAAUUGCAAGAUUAAUAGAAUUCUGUAUUGAGCACUUUAUAAACAAUCAAUGUUUGAUUAGUUGAAACAGAGAACAAUUAGCCAUGGUUGGCAGUGGAUGCAAAGUCAAUGAGUAUAUUUAAAGACAACAUUGUUAGGUUCUUGAUUGAACAGGGUGUCAAAGAUUACUGAGAGAAGACUGUUGUUGACAUGGAUAAUGAAUCAGCUAUAAUGGUUUGGUGGAGCCGACUCAGUGGUUUAAUUCUGAACCUACAGUAUGUCUUAUAUUUUUAUGGAUAAAUGAGGAAGGGAUUAGAAAUUAUUGCAAGCAAACCCUGAUUUUUUAAAAAGAAACUAUAAAGGGACAUGGUUAAACAAAACUUAUGCUUGCACUAAAAGAUUAGAAAUGGCAGAGUUUCACAACUGUGACUUCUAUAAGAAUAUUUUUUUAAAAAAACAGAAAUGUCCCUUAUUUGUUCUGGCCUGAGAAAUUAAUUGUACAUUCCUCUGAAAUUAAUCUACACUUCUGACAUGUGUCACUAACUGAAUUAGUGUUCUAGAAACUUAGAAACUGAUCCAGACCAACUGUAAACAAAAUCAGUCAUUUUAAUUUAAACACUUUGACACAAAGUAGUUUUUAACAAAUUAGAGCAGCAUUUUAAAAGCUCAGUUGAUUGAUGACAGGACACUGUUCUUCAGCAGUGUCAUAGAAUGGAGGUUUUAAGGCCCACUUUCGCUUUUUAUUUUUCACUGUUUUGAGAAGUCACAAGACAAACAAAACAUGUUAGUCUCUUCAGUAAAAAAUACUGUGGUGAACUACAUAUACCUGUCUGGACAUGCCCCCUGCUGACUGCUCCUGUGGCUCCUCCCACAGACCCCUGUAUAAAGGCGAUUGAGGCCUGAGCCCGGAUGUAGUAUGGUGGUCACUCACUGCUUGUUCCUUCUUCCAGUCAAUAAAAGGUGAUAUCUCACCUUUACAUCUCAGAGUGAGUUAUUGAUGGUGCAUCAAUUUUAUUGACUGGAAAUUUUAAAACAUGGAAACCGUUUUAUGUCCGGAAAGAUUGGAUUUGGACCCCCAAGACCCUGAAACAGCUCUUGCUUUUGAACUCUGGCUUGCAUGCUUCCAAUCAUACUUGGAGGAGGUUCGUGCAACCGAACCCACUGUUAAUGCACAGAAUUCUCCUCUCAAGAGUCACCCAAAAGUUUAUUCAUUUAUCAGAGACCUGCCGACCUACGAAGGGGCACUGGACACCCUCAAAAGACAGUACUUGCGGCCGGUGAACACCGUCUACACAAGACAUCAUUUAGCUACGCGCCGACAGCAGCCUGCAGAGUCGUGCGCCCAGUUUCUCCGAGCCCUACAGACACUCAUCUGAACCUGUGACUGCAAAACGCUCACGGCGGAACAGCAUGCGGAGCUGCUAGUACAAGACGCCUUUGUGUCAGGAAUUCGGUCAGUGUAUGUGCACCAGCGGUUACUGGAAAACGCCGAUCUUACCUUACACUCGGCGAUAAAGACGGCCAACACGCUGGAGGCUGCUCUGCACAACGCUGAUGCUGUCCAGCCGUGCGAUUCCCCACUGGUUCCGUUGACACCUCAGACCCCAUCACUGCUGGUUCCCGCAAGCAAAUUCGCCAACGCCGCUGCCAGUUGUGAUUCCACGAACUCCCCGAACCCAACCACGGUGGUGGCCAGGCAAAAGCCUGAGCUGUGUUAUGUCUGUGGACUCGAUAAGCACCCCCGAAAACGCUGCCCGGCCUGAGAAGUGACUUGCUCCAGCUGCGGGAAAAAGGGCCAUUUCGCCAAGAUCUGUAAAUCUAAACCGUGAGCGGGGUCAAGCAGCGCUGCAUGUGAGACGUGGGGGCCGCCAUCUUGCAUGCACGGUUGUGGGCGGCCAUCUUUGUCGGCGUCAACAUGCCCCGCCCCCGACCCACCGAUGCUUACCGGGUACCAAGACGGCAGAUCAACUCUGCCCACCGUAACCCUCGACCAAAGCGCCCCACACCAGCUCGCAAGGUUAAUGAUGGACAUCCUGGUGGAGGGGCACAGGACUAGCUGCCUGUUUGACAUGGGCAGCACUGAGAGAUUUAUUGACCCGGACACAGUGCAACGCUGUGGACUCGUGACACGGCCGAGGGAAAUAGACCAGAUGGUGGACCAGUGCCAACUGAAGGCCACAUUUCCUUAUCUGGAUAACAUCACCAUCUGUGGUUGCGGCUGGUCGGAUCAGGACGCCAACCUCCAACGAUUUUUCCAAGUGGCCGAAGCUCUGAACCUUACUUAUAACAGGGACAAGUGUGUGUUUGGAACCACCCGACUCGCUAUCCUUGGGUAUGUCGUGGAAAACGGGGUCAUUGGCCCUGAUCCCGACUGUAUGCGCCCCCUGUUAGAACUCCCUCUUUCCACCACCCUCAAAGCCCUCAGACGGUGCCUAGGCUUCUUUUCCUAUUACGCCCAAUGGGUCCCCCAUUACACAGACAAGGCACGCCCCCUGGUCAAGUCUACCACAUUUCCCCUCUCUGCUGAGGCCCGUGCGGCCUUCAGCUGCAUUAAAGGGGACAUUGCCAAAGCAACGAUGCAUGCGGUGCACGAGACCAUUCCCUUCCAAGUAGAGUGUGACGCUUCCAAUUUCGCACUGGCUGCUACCGUCAAGCAGGAAGGCAGGCCAGUAGCAUUCUUUUCUCGCACCCUCCAAGGCACUGAAAUUCGGCACUCCGUGCUGGAGAAAGAAGCCCAGGCCAUAGUGGAGGCUGUUAGGCACUGGAGGCACUAUCUCGCCGGCAAAAGGUUCACCUUGCUGACUGACCAGCGCUCGGUUGCAUUUAUGUUCAGCAACCAACAGUGGGGCAAAAUCAAAAAUGAUAACAUUUUGCAGUGGAGAAUAGAACUCUCCACCUACAACUAUGAUAUCCUGUACCGGCCUGGAAGGCUCAAUGAGCCCCCGAUGCCCUAUCCCGGGGAGCGUGUGUCAGCGCACAGCUCGACCAGCUAUACGCCCUUCAUCCACAUCUUUGCCAUCCGGGGGUCUCCCGAUUUUACCAUUUCAUGAAAGCCCGGAACCUGCUGUACUCCCUGGAGGACAUCAGGACAAUGACCAGGGACUGCCAAAUCUGCGCUGAGUGCAAACCGCACUUCUACCGUCCUGACACGGCGCAACUUGUUAAGGCCACCCACCCUUUUGAGCGACUGAGUGUUGACUUUAAGGGCCCCCUUCCCUCCACCGACCGCAAUGUCUAUUUUCUCAACAUUAUCGACGAGUACUCACGGUUCCCCUUUGCCAUUCCCUGCCCCGACACCACUACCACGUCCGUCAUAAAAGCCCUGCGCCAGCUCUUCACUCUGUUGAGAUAUCCCUUAUAUCCACAGUGAUAGAGGGUCCUCCUUAAUGAGUGACAAGCUGCGCCAGUACCUGCUGGCUAGGGGCAUUGCUACUAGUAGGACCACGAGCUAUAAUCCCUGGGGAAAUGGACAAGUGGAGAGGGAGAAUGCCACAGUGUGGAAGGCCACACCUUUAGCCCUUAAGUCAAAAGGGUUGCCAGUCUCUUGACGGCAGGAGGUCCUCCCCAAGGCAUUCCACUCUAUCCGCUCCCUGUUAUGUACGUCCACCAAUGCCACCCCUCACAAGCGCCUAUUCUCUUUUCCCAGGAAGUCUGUCAGUGGGACCACCCUACCAGUUUGGCUGCCGUCCCCAGGGCCAGUGCUGCUCCGGAAACAUGUGAGGAGUAAUAAAUACUCCCCCCUGGUCAAGAGGGUUCACCUUCUAUAUGCAAACCCUCAGUAUGCCUACGUGGUCUUACCUGAUGGGCGGGAGGACACGGUCUCCGUCUGCGACCUGGCGUCCGCAGGAGCAGCAGACCACUACCCUGAACACUCUCUGAUAUUUCAGGACUUGCCACGGCACUGGUGAUGAGUGGAAAACUUGCAACUACAUGUGGCUUCUCCAUGAUUUAUGUCUACACAGCUGAGCUGUACCCAACAGCAGUAAGAAAUAUGGGUGUUGGAGUCUGUUCAAUGGC